UUCCCGUUACAGAUAAUCGCGCUUUCUUUGCGAAUUCCUGAUUCCGUUCCGGUGUCAUGCCGGAAUAUACGGUAUAAGGAAAUAGUAAAGAUGUGAGGAAAGUCCGGACUCCAUAGGGACAGGGAUGCCGGGAGAAUAUCCCGGGGCAACGGAACAUCACCGUUGUACGGAAAGUGUCACAGAAAAGAAAACUAUCCGCUGCGUGCGGAUAAAGGUGAAACGGCAGGUUAAGAGCCUACCAUACAGGAAGCAAUUCCUGUGAUUGACAAACCCCAUCCGGAGCAAAGCCAAGUAUGGAGAGUUAGCUCUGUCCGCUAAUAUAUCUCUCCGGGUAGGCUGCAAAAAUCUUCACAGUAAUGUGCAUAUAAGAUAAAUGAUUAUCACCUCUGUCAUUGAGGUACAGAAUCCGGCUUAUGUAACGGGAAUUUU
rnacentral:RNase_P_RNA from 1 species